GACGAACGCUGGCGGCGUGCUUAACACAUGCAAGUCGAACGGAAAGUCCCUUCUUUUGUUGGGUUCUCGAUUUGCGAACGUGUGAGUAACACGUGAGUAACCUUCCCUUUACUUUUGUAUAACUUCAGGUAACUUGUUCUAAUACCUGAUAUUAGCUCCUGCUGCAUGGUGGUUUUUGGAAAGUUUCGGCGGUUGGGGAUGGACUCGCGGCUUAUCAGCUUGUUGGUGGAGUAGUGGCUUACCAAGGCUUUGACGGGUAGCCGGCCUGAGAGGGUGACCGGCGACAAUGGGACUGAGAUAAGGAGCAGAAUGGAACGGGAGGCAGCAGUGGGGAAUAGUGCACAAUGGGAGGAAGCGUGAGGAAGAAAAGAAGGGUGCGGGAAGAAGGCCUACGGGUGGUAAAAAGAGUGAGGAUGAGAAGAAGAGUGAGUGACGGUAAUGGGUAAAGAAGCACCGGCUAACUACGUG
rnacentral:rRNA from 1 species